rnacentral:rRNA from 1 species
UACAGAGGUCUCAAGCGUUGUUCGGAUUCAUUGGGCGUAAAGGGUGCGUAGGUGGCGAGGUAAGUUGGAUGUGAAAUCUCGGGGCUCAACCCCGAAACUGCAUUCAAUACUGCUUUGCUGGAGUACUGGAGAGGAGAUUGGAAUUUACGGUGUAGCAGUGAAAUGCGUAGAUAUCGUAAGGAAGACCAGUGGCGAAGGCGGAUCUCUGGACAGUUACUGACACUGAGGCACGAAGGCCAGGGGAGCAAACGGG